rnacentral:lncRNA from 1 species
GUCACGUCCCGCUAUCGCCAAUUUGGUCGAUCCGGGCCCGUACACAGACGCCGAACGAACAGCACCUCCCCUGUUCGUCCAAGGCUAAACCACAACGAGUACAUGUAUAAAGAAAUAAACAAUUCCCAGGAUCACAUUUCAAUAUACAUGGCUUGCUCGAAGGCAAGCAACAAACACAAGUGAUAGUAAAGUAACUGAACAAUGAAAUUCACUGUAAUUUAAAACUUUACAUAACUGAAAUAUUUAGUUAUUUACAUGUUGUAUAUACAUCAAAAUGGUAACCACUAAACUCUGGUGUCGGCUAACUAAGCUGCAGGGCCCUUGCCACGAUCCUCGGCAACAGCACUCGUACUGGAACCUGUAAGGUUAGUGGUGUGAGAACUACGAGAAAGUUCCCAGUGGGUUCGGCCGCCGACCUCGCCGACUCACCCACUAGGUCUAAUCAGGCAUAUGUAGGCAAAGAAAGUAAAGCAGAUAGUAACCAACUAGAUAUGUAACUACUACAAUGCCUGUACAAAGCUGAAAGAAAGCAAUAUAUAUGAAAACUGUAAAUAUGCAUGCAUGCUUUUCAUUAACUUUACCCAAUCUUUUGGUUAACCCUUUGGUUAACAAUUACUCACUGACACUAUCCCAAAUAUCGGGGAGACGCAACCUGCACCCGACGGGACUGUCAACUGGGGGAGACGCAACCUCCUGGUCCAGUACAGAUGACUACUCCGGAGCUCAUCGUUCAAGGAGGAGCGACCUCACUUGAACCAAACGAUUGUGAGUAUGAUCUGAUCCCCCUUUAGAGGAUUCAACUGACAAACACUGUCACACUUUACUCUAACUAGCUCUAUAUGCUAGUUUCACAAUUCAUAUCUCAAUACUAACCAAAUCUCUAGUCAUAUGUCACCAGGUUCACUAUUGUCAUAGUCCAAUGCAUUCAUAGGGUUAGAUAUUCACAUUCUAUGUUCAUACAUUUACAAGGUUGAUACACAAUUGCAUAAUCAAUAUUCUUUACAUACUCUCAAUGCCCUAUAAUGCAUGAAUUCAUUGUAAGUAGACAAUUAUGCUCAAUGAAAUAUUUUAGACAUAAAAAGUGAUUCAGAGAUUUCGGAUAGCACCACCCACCUGUAGUGGUGUAAACAACUAGAAUCCACGUCUCGAAACGUGUCGACAAUUAGCUCUCGCGACUCGGUGUAAAUAGAACUAGAACGGUCUUUACCGUAAUUAGCGCGUCGCCGACCUGUCGGAAUGUCACUUUAGACUUUCGAGCAUAUUUAACUUUCAUUUGUAAAGAUUUAAAAGAGGUUAAACUAGAGUUACAUUCACAUUUUAACAAAACUUGCAUUUCAACUUCAAUCUGCUUAUGUGUUAAGGCACAUGUAAAUUAGCAUACAUGUGUACAUGUAAUUGCUAAUACUUCGGCCAAUCAGUAACUCCAUUGAUCCAACUUUUAAUAAAGUAGUCAUUUCACUUCUAUAAAUUAGAUGCUCCACUAGCUUCUUCUCAGCUUACUAAUAAUUAGAACCCAAUGUUGAAAUUUAAUUUACUUAACCUUCCUAUGAUAUAAUUAAACUACUCCAUUUAGAAUUUUUGGAAGCAUCAUGGUUCAAGUUUUAUUCUUAAUCACAUAAACCAGGAAUUGAGUUCAUUUUACCUCAAUUUCUGAGCUCCUCUAGCUCAAUUAACUAGCAGCUAUCAACAUCAAGAAUCUUCAAUGCUGAAUUUCAGCAUUGGAGCUUCACAGUUUUCCGAAUAGAUUGGAUGCUGUUUCAGUUUGAGUUACUUAAAAUCAGUCUCACUUAACCCCUAACUCACACAUUAACUAAGCUAUAUAUAGUUUGCCAUUGAUCCUGGUAAUUCUACAAACUGAAUUGACUAUAGCUUAACUUCCUUAUGUAAUGGCUAGCAUCAAUUCCAUUUAGGAUUUUCUGUUGUUCAUAUUGCAGGUAAAGAGAUCCUGGUUCUCUUAGAUAGGAAUAUCAGCUUAUUCCUAAGUGUAUUGUCACUAAUACAUAGUUCUUAAUUAUCAACCUACAAGGCUGAUUUUGGGUUACCAUCAGCUCAAUAAUCAUGCCUCACCCAAAUUAGCCUCUUAAUAGGAUAACUAAUUGAUUCAUAAUCAGAAUUUGAGCAAUUUCUUUACCUUGAAGCAGCAAUUUCAACAAUACUUCUCAAUUCCUCUCUUCACUGAGGUUUGGUUCAGCUCUAGCAGCAGAAACAAGGUUCUUUAGCUGCUCUCUUUGCUCUAAUAGCCCCAACAUCAGUCAACAACUCAAUUAUUAGCUUGGUUUACAAUUUUGAAUCUUACUUAAACCAGGGAGGAAUAUUAUUCUUACCAGAAACUGAACCCAAAUCCUUUUCUCUGCUGAUUUCUUGUUUAAACACUCAAUCCGACCAUACUUCUCAAAUCUGUUAACUCAAACAGCAGGAACUCUUAAUUUGAUCCCUUCUAAGGCAACAAAUUUGAUUGUAAUUCACUAUAGAAUGGACUUACUUUAAUUUGAUGCUAAAUUGGCCUGCUCACUGCAUCAAAUAGUCCACCCUUGCAUUUCGGCAGCACCAAGAACACACCAACUUGAUUUCAGCUCCCAAAUCUGAAAUUUCAGCAUUCUAAUACUAUAAACUUAAUCCCUUUGUAGUUGUAAUUAAUUCUCAGCUGAGGGGCAAGUUGCUUACCUUAAUUAAGUGUUACGCCAGGUUACUUCAACUCCAAUAGCAUCCUCUCUCAGCUCGGCCACUCCACCAAGCCGAAGACACCAAGUCGGCCAAUCCUAAUCAGCUCUCAAGUCCUGACAGCAAGAGUUCUUCCUUUAACUCUUCUCUAAGUAGCUAGCUUCAAUAUAAAUCAGGUAAGGAUUUAACUUACUUUAAUUUUUGAAGCUUCUCCAAUUAACUCCCUGCUUGAAUCAGGUCUCACAACCUCAGCCUACAAAUCCCCAAGCUGCCCACAUCAAACUCCUCGACUCUUUCUUAGUCUAGAGAGAGAAGGAGAAGGAAAAUGGAUGAAAGAAAAGAAGGGAAAUAGAAUUUCUGCACUUUGGACAGGUGUAUUCCACCAGGGGUGAACUGAUAAGGCUGGAAAAUGCAGCUUAGCCCCUGGAAUUUGCAAAAAUGCAUUGCAACCUGCAGAUUUACAUUUCAGUCCCUGCAGUCUCGCAAUUCAGUCCCUGCUGGCAGCAGCAGCAGCAGAUGAUCUAAUCCCUUGUUUCUCAUAUUUAAUUCACUUCGAUUUCAUUCGAACACAUCCAAAAUCAUCCAAGGAAGCUUCCCAAGCUAUCAAAUUAAUUUGGGAGCAAUUAAUUCCCAAUUUGGCAUCAAUUUGAUCAUUUUUUGACCCAAUCGACUAAAAUUUCAGCUUUCAAGUAGCAAUGGCAAUUGGGUGUCUUUAGCCACUCCAAUUCCAUUCUUAUCUAUUCCCACAUCUCCAACACCUUUCACUUGAUGUUCCCAAGCUACUAGUCAAGUUUAGAAGCCUUUAACUUCCAUUUUAGCAUUAUUGUGACCAAUUUUAUCACAAUUGGCCUAAGCUGAAUUUUCAGCCUAUUACAAUCUCCCCUCCUUUAAUAGUUUCGUCCUCGAAACUUAAAUACAUACCUCAAGUUUCCUGGUUGAAUAGAUGGGGAUAGGAUGCACGCAUAGCCUCCUCCAAUUCCCACGUUGCCUCUCGUCCUGAAUGAUUGCUCCAUUGCACUUUCACAUAGGGAAUAGUGCGAUUUCGCAAUUCCUUCACUUCGCGAUCCAAAAUACAUAUUGGGUAUUCUUCAUAAGUCAUAUUCUCCUGCAAAUCCACUGGUUCGAACUCUAGAACAUGCCCUGAAUGAUGCACAUAUUUUCGGAGAUUCGAAACAUGAAAUACAUUGUGUAUUCCUUCAAACUUCGGCGGUAAAGCCAAUCGAUAAGCUACUGCUCCCACUCGCUCUAGAAUCUCGUAAGGUCCAAUGUAUCGAGGACUAAGCUUCCCUCGAACACCAAAUCUCUUUAUCCCGCGCAUUGGCGAUACUUUCAAGAACACCUUAUCGCCAACCGCAAACUCCAAGUUCUUUCGGCGCUUAUUGGCAUAACUUUGUUGCCGUGACUGGGCCGUCAACAAUCUCUGGCGGACUAGGCGUACCUUUUCCUCCGCCUCUUGGAGUACAUCAGGACCAAGAACCAUUCUUUCUCCUACUUCACUCCAAUGGAUAGGGGAUCGACACUUUCUCCCGUAGAGAGCUUCAAACGGUGCCAUUGCGAUGCUUUCCUGAUAACUAUUAUUAUAUGCAAACUCAGCCAUUGCUAAGGAAUCAUGCCAACUCCCUCUGAAGUCAAGUACACACGCACGUAGCAUGUCCUCCAAAAUCUGAAUCGUUCUCUCAGACUGUCCAUCGGUCUGAGGAUGAAAAGCUGUACUAAAAUCAAGACGUGUGCCAAGAGCAUCCUGUAAACUCCUCCAGAAGUGGGAUGUAAACCGCGGGUCUCGAUCAGAUACAAUCGACGUCGGGACUCCGUGUAAUCUCACAAUCUCGUCGAGGUACACCUGUGCCAACUUGUCCCCUGACCAAGUAACAUGAAUCGGCAAGAAAUGCGCCGAUUUCGUCAAUCGAUCAACAAUCACCCAAAUGGUAUCAUGUCCAGCCUGUGAUCGAGGUAAUCCAACAACGAAGUCCAUCGCAAUGUUCUCCCACUUCCAAACUGGAAUAGGCAAGCUCUGUAACUUUCCUGCGGGAAAUCUGCGCUCAGCUUUAACUUGCUGACAAGUCAAACACUGCGCUACAAACUGCCCAACAUCCUUCUUCAUUCCAGGCCACCAAUAAUGCACUUUAAGAUCUUUGUACAUCUUAGUGCCACCUGGAUGUACACUAUAAGGUGACUGAUGAGCUUCCUGUAGCAUAGCCCUCUGAACCUCCUCGUCUUUAGGUACGCACAACCGGUUACGAAACCGAAGUGCACCGUCAGAUCCCACUGUAAAAUCAUCCCCUCGCCCGUUCUCAGCUUCACACCGUACUUUUUGGAGAUACGGAUCUAAAGACUGCCGAUCUUUAAUCUGUUCCAACAAAGUCGGUUGAACAACUAGGGCGGCAAGAAUAGCCGGUACAUCUGGAGCUACUACCUCAAGAUCAAACUGCCGCAUUUCAUUCUGCAACGACGGUUGAUGCGUGAUCAUCAUAGCCAGGUUCUCCACUGACUUCCUACUCAAUGCAUCCGCGACCACAUUCGCCUUUCCUGGGUGGUAUAGAAUAUUAACGUCAUAAUCUUUCAACAAUUCUAACCACCGGCGUUGUCGCAUAUUCAGCUCUUUCUGGGUGAAUAAAUACUUCAGGCUCUUGUGGUCAGUAUAAAUCUCACAAUGCUCGCCAUAAAGAUAAUGUCUCCACAACUUCAGUGCGAAGAUCACCGCCGCCAGUUCCAAAUCAUGAAUAGGAUAAUUCUUUUCAUAGUUCUUCAGCUGGCGAGACGCAUAAGCAAUCACUCGACCACCCUGCAUAAGCACACACCCAAGCCCACUGUAGGAAGCGUCGCUAUAAACCACAUAACUCUCCCCUGAAACCGGCAAUGCAAGAAUAGGCGCCGAAGUCAACCUUUCUUUUAAGUCCCGAAAGCUUCGAUCACAUUCUUCACUCCAAACAUACUUAACUCCUUUAUGUGUCAGGCGCGUUAGUGGAGUAGUAAUCUUCGCGAAUCCCUCCACGAACCGCCUAUAGUACCCUGCUAAUCCAAGGAAACUGCGGAUCUCCACAACUGUCGUAGGGCGAGGCCAAUCUUUAAUUGCCUCCACUUUCUUUGGGUCGACAGAAACACCACCCUCAGAAAUCACGUGCCCUAGAAAUGCCACCUCUCGUAGCCAGAAUUCACAUUUCUUCAAUUUCGCAUACAGCUGAUGCUCCCGCAGAAUCUGCAUCACUGUUCUCAAGUGUUUCUCGUGCUCUUCAUUGCUUCGGGAAAAGAUUAGAAUAUCAUCUAUGAACACCACUACACACUGAUCCAACAACGGCUUAAAAACCCUGUUCAUCAGAUCCAUGAACGCUGCCGGGGCGUUGGUAAGCCCAAACGGCAUCACUGUGAACUCGUAAUGCCCAUAACGAGUGCGAAACGCUGUCUUAUGCACAUCCUCUGGUUUGAUCUUCAAUUGGUGGUAACCCGAUUGAAGAUCAAUCUUCGAAUACACCCGUGAACCUUGCAACUGAUCAAAUAAGUCAUCGAUUCGCGGCAACGGAUAUUUAUUCUUGAUCGUGACCUUGUUCAGUUCACGGUAAUCGACACACAGUCGAAGCGUUCCGUCUUUCUUCUUCACAAACAAAACAGGAGCUCCCCAGGGUGAUACACUAGGCUUCACAAAGCCUUUAUCCAUCAAAUCCUGCAACUGAGCUUUCAGUUCUCUCAACUCAGCUGGUGCCAUUCUGUACGGAGCCUUCGAAAUUGGCGCCGUUCCGGAAACCAAGUCAAUAACGAACUCAAUUUCCCGAUCCGGCGGCAAUCCCGGCAGCUCCGCAGGAAAUACAUCAGGAAACUCUCGAACCACUGGAAUAUCUCCAAGCGCUGGAAGUUCCUUCUGAGUCUCCACCACUGUUGCCAAAUAGGCUACACAUCCUCUACUAAUCAACUUUCUCGCCCUCGUAGUCGAUACAGUUAGUGCAAAGAGCGAACUCUUGCAUCCUCGAUAUACAACCUCCUUCUGCUCAGGUUCACGAAAAGUAAUAAUUUUACUUUCGCAAUCAAUUGUGGCAUAGUACUUUGUAAGCCAAUCCAUCCCAAGGAUUAUAUCAAAACCUUUCAUUAGCUUCAACACUAACAAAUCAGCUGGCAUAAUCCAAUCUCCAAUCUGUACUGGACACGCCGCACAUUCCUCGUGAACACUAAACGUGUGCUCAGGAGCAUAGACCCACCAGGCAUCUGGUCUAUCCGAAAUCUCAAAAUCAUGUGUUCUAGCAAAUGAACUACUAAUAAAGGAAUGAGAUGCACCGGUAUCAAACAAUGUGCGAGAUCUAAUGCCAUAAAGUAAAGUAAUACCUGCCACGACAUCGUCGACCACGGCAGGAUCCUCAGCCUGAGCUGCAAAUACUCGUCCACUCUGUGCAGGUCGAGACGCCUCAGUCCUGGUACUCGGUGCAGGUCGGGGUGGCUCAUACUGACGCGACGCAAAAGAACGUCCAGCUGACAUAGCGGGUGGGGGACCCGCACGCUGCCUCGCAGAAGACUGAGCGGAAGCUGUAGACUGCGCGGAUGAUGCUCCCCUCGGGCAAUCACGAACCAUAUGUCCCGGCUGUCCACACUUAAAACAUUUACCAUCCCGCUGUGGACAAGUCGUCACUCGAUGGUUCCCGCCACAAAUGACACACCUCUGGGGUCCCUGAUACCUCUGCUGUGGCCGUGGAUACCGAGGGGGCCGUUUGGAGCUCGACUGUCCCCCGGCACUAGUAGUCCUUUUCUUUCCCUUUUCUCUUUCUCGCUCUCGAUCAAACGACUCGCGUUCCUCACGCGCAAUCGCAUUGCUGCGCUCCACCCAAAGAGCUCGAUCCAGGACUUCCUCAAAUGACUUUAACUUAGAGCACUAAUGAUCCUGAAUAUUUCAGGCCGUAAUCCCCGCUCAAAGUAGUCAGCUCUAUCUCGAUCUGUAUGCACCAUUCCGGGUACACAGUUUACUAAAUGUGUAAACUCCCGCUCGUAUUCCCGUACCGAACGGUUUCCCUGUCUUAACUUUCGAAAGUCUUCUUUCAUUUUCCUUCUGUCACUAUCAGGGAAGUACUCUGCAAACAGGAUCUCUCUGAACUCAUCCCAGGAAAGCAAGGAGGGAUUUAGAACUCGGCUUUUCUUCGCUUUUUGCCACCAAAUCUGCGCAUCCUUCUCAAAGCAAUGUGCAGCUAAAUGAACCUUGUCCUUUUCCAAUGUAUAGAUAUCCUCAAACAGAGCUUCCAUCGCUGUGAACCAGGUCUCCAACACCCAAGGAUCGGCCUCCUUUCCAUCAAACAUUGGCGGAUUAAACCGCAAGAACGCCGUCAACACUGAUAAGGAUCGCUCGUGCUCGGCCCUCAACGCGGCCGAAUCAGAACUAGAAGGCCCUGAGACCACUGGGGGAACCAUCACUGGAGGAGGGGGCACUAUCACUGGCGGAUCAGGUAUAGGCGCAUCCUGACUCCCAGAUGCUGCAGUUGUCGCCUGUUGCGACACUAGGUCCUGUAAUCUCUUAAUGUUCUCCUCCUGCCUCUGCAUAGAUCCAACCAACGCGCUCACCUGAGCGCGCAGCUCCUGAACCUCGCUAGAUCCCUCCUGAUCUGGCACCCCAGGAGGUGAUGCCGGAGCGGAUCUCGUCGCACGCCGUGGCGGCAUUUCUCCUGAAACGAACUAUUCACAUUAGUAAACAAAACCAAUCAGGCGAAAGCAAUCAAGUGUAUUUAUACUCAACUCUUAGCUUUAUGUUGUUGGCCACCCAACAUAACUCUUUUAGUUGUGUAUAAACAACACUUGGAUCAGCCCCUAAUUCACAUUAGAGACUUACUAACAACUAACCCAAUUCAUUCAGCUUUCGCUAUCAUUAGAUUCACGCCACUCGCGUUCCUAGUUCCUAGGUUUCCAUUCCUAAGUCCCCUAGGUCACUCUAGAUUUUUUACUGUCACUUGCUCUGAUACCACUUUAUCUGUCACGUCCCGCUAUCGCCAAUUUGGUCGAUCCGGGCCCGUACACAGACGCCGAACGAACAGCACCUCCCCUGUUCGUCCAAGGCUAAACCACAACGAGUACAUGUAUAAAGAAAUAAACAAUUCCCAAGAUCACAUUUCAGUAUACAUGGCUUGCACGAAGGCAAGCAACAAUCACAAGUGAUAGUAAAGCUAGCUAAACAUGAAAAUCACUGUAAUUUAAAACUUUCAAACUGAACUUUGCAUAACUGAGUAUGAAAGCAUUUAGUUAUUUACAUAUUCUAUAAUACAUGCAUUUACAUGUCUCUGUACAUCAAACUAGAUGAUACAUGAAGCCAAAAUGGUAAACUACUAGAACUCUGGUGUCAGCUAGCUAAGCUGCGGGGCCCUUGCCGCGAUCCAUGGCCACAACGCUCGCACUGGAACCUGUAUGGUUAGUGGUGUGAGAACUACAAGAAAGUUCCCAGUGGGUUCGGCCACCGACCUCGCCGACUCACCCACUAGGUCUAUUCAGGCAUAUGUAGGCAAGAAAAGUAACACAGAUAGUAACCAACUGUACAUGUAACUACUACAAUGCCUGUACAAGCUGAAAGAAAGCAAUAUAGGAAAACUGUAAAUAUGCAUGCAUGCUUUUAUUGAAUUUACCCAAUUCACUGGUUAACCCUUGGUUAACAAUAACUCACUGACACUAUCCCAGACAUCGGGGAGACGCAACCUGCACCCGACGGGACUGUCAACUGGGGGAGACGCAACCUCCUGGUCCAGUAAAGAUGACUACUCUGGAGCUCAUCGUUCAAGGAGGAGCGACCUACCUUGAACCAAAUGAAUGUGAGUAUGAUCUGAUCCCCCUUUAGAGGAUUCAACUGACAAACAUUGUCACACUUUACUCUAACUAGUUCUUUAUACUAGUUUCACAAUUCCAUUUCUCGAUGCUAACCAAUCUCUAGUUGAAUGUCACCAAGUUCACUAUUGUUAUAGUCCAAGCAUUCAUAGGGUUCUAUGUCCAUAUUCUAAAGUUCACAAAUUCUCACUGUUGACAGAAAUUCAUACUUUCAUUUGCACAAUGCCAAUACCCUAUAAUGCAUGACUACAUUACAAUUAUGCUCAAUGAAUAAUCAUAGACAUAAAAGGUGAUUCAAAGACUUCGGAUAGCACCACCCACCUGUAGUGGUGUCGCAAAUCAAAUCUCACAUCUCGAAGUGAAUCCACGAGGGUAUCUCACGACUAGAAGCAAAUAGAGCCAAAAUGGCUUCUAUCGUAGUUAGUGCGUCACCGACCUGUCGGAAAGUCAAUUUAGACUUUUGGGCAAGUUUAACCUUUAUUUAUAAAGUAACAAACGAGACUAAACUAGAGUCAUUCUUCAUAUUUUACAAGUUAGCAUUUCGAUGCCACUUAAAGUGUCAACUUAAGGUUAAUUUCAGCAUUAAGCUGAAUUCUUGCUUCUAGUUGAAUUCAUGCUGAAAUCUGCUCCAUUUGCAAUCACUUCAGCAUUCUAACAAUUUAAACUUAAUCCCAAUCAUAAUCUCUUUAUAUUUAUGUUCAUUUGCUGCUCAACUCAUCUGAUCUCAGCUCCAACAGUAAUGCUUUCCAAUGCUGAAAUCCUGCGCUAGCUGAAAUUUCAGCACUUUGCUUCUGUUAGUGUAGCCACUAUAAGCAAAGAACAAUUAGUUCUAUCAUUAGUGCUUUCCUUGGAGUAUUACUGCUGAUCUAGGAGUUAACAUUAAUCUUAUUUAAGAUUAAAACUCAACUAAGUUUUAUUUCAGCUCUCAUAAUUAAGGUCAUGCUGAGCUUCGUCUCAUUUUAAUAACAAGUGCUGAAAUUCAGUUCAUGCUGAAUUUUCUGCAUUCGUACUUUACAAUUUACCUAGAAGUUACCUUUAUAACACUUCACAUCACCCACUCUAAAUACAGGUAUUAUGCUUACACAAAUUAGAACUUCUCUAAGUUGUUCUCAGCUCUUUAGAGCUUCUUUCAGCUGAUUUCCUGAAUCAGCAUCUCCAAUAGGCCCAAUUAGAUCCUAUUUUCAUGCAAUUAACUUGUCUAUAAUUACCAUUAGCACAAUUUUACCUUAAUUAGGUAUACUGCCAGGGAGAUCUUAGCUUCAACUCUCAACUUGAUGCUGAAUUACUUGUUCACUGCAUCAAAUAAUCCAGCCCUUCAUGUCGACAACACCAUUAACCCCAAUUCCUUCCAUUCGACAGCCUCAAUAAGCCAAGCCCCAAAUUCUGUCACUCCCUGCUUUAUCAUCAGCAACAGAGUUGCUUACAACUCUCUUUAAAGUAGGUAGCUUAAUUCUAAUCAAAUAUAAACCCCACUUACUUUAAUGUAAGCUUCCACCAGAUUGUUCUCAGCUCAAAAGACCCAAGCUUCUUGCUUGAUAGCUCCAACAGCAGGGAUAUCUUCCUUCAGUUGCUUUUCUUGCUCGAACAACCUCACAGCAUCAAUACCCAAUUCCUAAAUCCAAAGCUUUCUCAAGAUUUCGCAGCUCCCAAUUUCUUCUCCUCAGCUGGAAUUAAACCAAUUUCCUGCU